AUCAAUAAGCGGAGGAAAAGAAAAUAACAAUGAUUUCCCUAGUAACGGCGAGUGAAGAGGAAAGAGCUCAAAGUUGGAACCUGUUUGGCUUAGCUAAACCGGAUUGUAAACUGUAGAAGUGUUUUCCUGACACGCCUGGUAAAAAAGUCCUUUGGAACAGGGCAUCAUAGAGGGUGAGAAUCCCGUCUUUGGCCAGAGCUGUUGUCUUUUGUGAUACAUUUUCAAAGAGUCAGGUUGUUUGGGAAUGCAGCCUAAAUUGGGUGGUAAAUCUCACCUAAAGCUAAAUAUUUGCGAGAGACCGAUAGCGAACAAGUACCGUGAGGGAAAGAUGAAAAGAACUUUGAAAAGAGAGUUAAACAGUAUGUGAAAUUGUUAAAAGGGAACCGUUUGGAGCCAGACUGGCUUGAUCGUAAUCAAUCUAAGCUUCGGCUUGGAUGCACUUGCGGUCUUUGCCUGCCAACGACAAUUUUUUCUGGGGGAAAAAACUAAUGUGAAACGUAGCCCAUCUCGGUGGGUGUUAUAGUCCGUUAGAAAAUACCCUGGAUUGGAUUGAGGAACGCAGUGAAUGCUCUUUAGGGCAAGAUUGCUGGGUGCUUUCGCUAAUACAUGCUAAAAUUUCUGCCUUGGGUGGUGUUAGUGUGUAAAGGAGGAACUCGCCUAGUAUAUUUUUUAUUCGCUUAGGUUGUUGGCUUAAUGACUCUAAAUGAC
rnacentral:rRNA from 1 species